ACAAGAUGAUGAAAAACUCAUUUAGGCCAGACUUGACUGUGGUGGCUAAAACUGAUUUAAUGAGGCUGAUUG
rfam:Asian citrus Psyllid, Diaphorina citri - Florida Strain, whole genome shotgun sequence.